rnacentral:rRNA from 1 species
UCCGGUAGACGAUGGGGAUGCGUUCCAUUAGAUAGUAGGCGGGGUAACGGCCCACCUAGUCAACGAUGGAUAGGGGUUCUGAGAGGAAGGUCCCCCACAUUGGAACUGAGACACGGUCCAAACUCCUACGGGAGGCAGCAGUGAGGAAUAUUGGUCAAUGGGCGAUGGCCUGAACCAGCCAAGUAGCGUGAAGGAUGACUGCCCUAUGGGUUGUAAACUUCUUUUAUAAAGGAAUAAAGUCGGGUAUGCAUACCCGUUUGCAUGUACUUUAUGAAUAAGGAUCGGCUAACUCCGUGCCAGCAGCCGCGGUAAUACGGAGGAUCCGAACGUUAUCCGGAUUUAUUGGGUUUAAAGGGAGCGUAGAUGGAUGUUUAAGUCAGUUGUGAAAGUUUGCGGCUCAACCGUAAAAUUGCAGUUGAUACUGGAUGUCUUGAGUGCAGUUGAGGCAGGCGGAAUUCGUGGUGUAGCGGUGAAAUGCUUAGAUAUCACGAAGAACUCCGAUUGCGAAGGCAGCC